GUUUCCAUACAAUACUGUUCUCCUUAAAC
rnacentral:other from 15 species